rnacentral:lncRNA from 1 species
AGGAGUGUACCCGUGAAAAAGAAAAAAAGGGGACAACUUGUUGGGUCACACAUGUAAGAAUUGACUUGAAAUGGAAUGGAUAAUAACCUUUGGAGUAGGCAGCUCAGACUUUGGGAAAUGGGAAGCAUUUGCUAUUUUACUUGAACUGUAGUGAUUAAAAGAAUCUGCAUAAACUGACUUCUUCCUCAUACCUAGCUGGAUCCAGUCGGCUUCAACUGUAUAAUCUGUAUAAUAACAAAUAACAUUAUUAAAAAAAAUGAGCACGGCCCUUGACUUCUGCAGAAGUCAUUGGAAAGUGCGUCAUCGAUGAUUACUGAAUCAGGCAUGCAGCACACCGAUGUUCGUACCGAAAUAGAUGUCGCAGGCACUUCACAUAUGUCAUUUUACAAAAACGUCCUGGGAAUUAAACUAAUUACAGUCCAGAAAGGUAGACUACGGGAUUCAAAUUCAAAACUUGUCUCCUUCGCAAGCCCAGGUCGCCUCCGCCAGUCCAGAUCGCCUGCUCCUUUCCCCUCUCCAAGUCGCCAUCUCCAGCCCUCUCCAGGUAUCUCCAGUCCAGCCCUGCCGCUAGCCAUCUCCAGCCCCUUCUAACAGAUCAAUCAAUCAGAUCAAAGGAGGAACAUCUACAGCCAACAGUUCAAAGGAACAGCUACAGGCCAAUCAAUCAGACCAAUCCCUCAAAUCACAGGAGCAAUAGCUACAGCCGCAAGUUCAAAAAUUACCGAGAUCAGCCGGCAGGAGCGUGAUGCCAUCGCCCGCCGCCCGAUGCCGUCGCCUCUCGCCUGCCGUCGCCCAGGGAAAAUCACCUCUGCCUUCUCGCAUCUGAGGCAGAGCUCUGCCUCUGCCUUUGCGGGCUCCGCCACCUUCCCCCAUCUCAGGCAGAGCUCUGCCUCUGCCUUUGCUGCACCGGUCACCAUUCCUCAUCUCAGGCCAAUUUCAGCAACAGCAGAAACAUCAUGGAAGGAUUUAGCUCUGCCUCUGCCUUUGCUGCGCCGGUCACCAUUCCUCAUCUCAGGCCAAUUUCAGCAACAAGCAGAAACAUCAUGGAAGGAUUUAGCUCUGUCUCUGCCUUUGCUGUGCCGGUCACCAUUCCUCAUCUGCCAAUUUCAGCAACAAGCAGAAACAUCAUGGAAGGAUUUCAGCAACAAGCAGAAAAAGAAGAUGAAGCUGUACAUGAAGCACAAUUUCAAUUCAAAGCUGAAAGAGUACAUAGACAUGCAGAUUUGCAAUUUAAUGCUAAAAGAGUACAGAUACAGGCAGAUUUGCAAUUUAAUGCUGAAAGAGUACAGAUACAGACAGAUCAACUCAAUGCUCAAAGAGUACAGGCAUAUUUGCAAUUCAAUGAUGAAACUGAACAUGAAGAUGUGCAAGAAGUAGAUGUCCAAGGCAAUGAAGAUAUAGCUCAACAAGGAGUGUACAGUGAAGUAGAUGUCCAAGGCAAUGAAGAUAUAACUCAACAAGGACUGUACAAUGAAGUAGAUGUCCAAGGCAAUGAAGAUAUACCUCAACAAGAUACAACUGCAGAAGGAAACAUGCCCAUACCAGAUCUGAACUGCACUCCUCAUGAAGAUGUUGAUGUUGAAGCAGCAGGUAACUCCUGAAACAGAACAAGAUCAAAUACUGUACAGAACAAAGCAAAUUACUGUGUUGUUCCUAUAGAUUUGUGUUCUUGUUCAUCAAACUAUUGUUCCUAUAGAUUUUUGUUCAGAAUAGAACAUGCACACACAAUUUCAUAAUUUAACUACAGCAUGUGAUGAUUAUUGUUCAGAAUAGAGCAUGUGCAUGUUAUUGUUCAGAUUUGUUCUCCAUCUACACACAUCAUGUAACUACAUCAAGUUCUCCAUGUAUAGACAUCAAAUUAGCACAUGCAUGUUUUUUUCUGAAAUGGAGUAUUGUACGGCAAAUAGAGGCAUUAUAUGAAGAACUUAUCUUCUGGUCCUUUGCAGGUGCUCAACAACGACAACGAAGGGAACUGCCUGAUGAACACAUAUUUGGUGCUUAUAUUGCAUUGAAGGCACUCAGCAUAGAUGGAGAAAUACUCUUAAAGGACAAGGAGCAUGUUGCUCGUCUUUUGGAUACAUCUGUUAGAACAGUUGAGAGAAUAUGGAAAUUAGCACAUGAGCAUAUUGCACAAGGUUUACCUGUCGAUCUUUCUAACCAAAAAAAGGGUAAAGUAGGUCGUAAAAGAGCUGACCUUGGUCUCUCUAGAAUCUUCUAUAUCUAAGUAGGAGAAACCCACUACUUGAUUUCUCUCAACAUACAAGCAUGCCACAUCAUCAUAUCAUUAAUAUGUUCACACCUAUUUAGUGAGAAACUCAUAUUUGUUGCACAUGCAUGCAUGAUAUUUUCUAUCAUGAUAUCCUCACUAUGUGAAGAAUUUAUCACACAAUUUCAUUCUAUGUUUUGAGUUUUGGAUACUCUUUCGUUGCUGUACUCAAUUUCGUUCAUGCACGUAUAUUAACUAAAAAAUUUUGCAACAACGUGCGGGGCAUCAUCUAGUUGCUACAAUACCACUAAACAGAAGAAGAACAGUAAGGGCGCUAGCUAGGGCUUUGGAUGUUAGCUGUUCAGCAUUGUACAGAAGGUUCAAAUGGGGAUUGAUAAUGCGCCGCACUAGCAGCUUAAAGCCCACACUUAAGCCAGCAAACAAGAUUGCGAGAUUGAAAUUCUGUGUCUCAAUGUUGGAUGAGGACACACUUGGAAAUGCAAGGCCUACUUUUAAAGACAUGACCAACAUUGUCCAUAUUGAUGAAAAAUGGUUUGAUAUGACGAAGAAGAAAGCCACCUAUUAUCUCGAUCCUAUAGAAUCAUGCCCCUUGCGCACUGUUCAGAACAAGAACAGCAUCAGGAAAGUUAUGUUUCUAACGGCAGUUGCAAGGCCUGGAUACGAAGUGGACAAGUUGGCCAGAGUUUUCAUAACACUCCAAUCAUGUAUGCUGGAGGUUAUGAAAGAAGGUGGCAAUGGAUAUAAGAUCCAGCACAUGAACAAGAAUAGAAUGCAGAGGGAAGGGACGUUAGAUACUUCUCUAGACUGUGAUGCUGACCUCUACCAUAAAAGUUUAGCAUUGCUGAACCAUUGAUGAGAAGAGAUGAGAAGAACUGUUGCAUUAGGAGUAGAACAGAUGAGAUGAGAAGAGAACAUAUUGUUAUUGCUGUUGUAUUUUUCAUUGCUGUUAUAGUUGUCAUUGUUGAGAGUAGAACAGAUGAGAUGAGAAGAGAACAUAUUGUUAUUGCUGUUGUAUUUUUCAUUGCUGUUAUAGUUGUCAUUGUUGAGAGUUGAAGAGAUGAGAUGAGAAGCUGUUGCGCCAGUGUUAAAUUCAGUUAACUAAAGUUCAGUUAAGCUUCAGUUAAUUAAAGUUCACUUUUAAAGUUUUAGAUUCAGCUUUUAAAGUUUAAGUUCAGGUUAGAUUCAGAUUUUUAAAGUUUAUGUUCAGGUUAGAUUCAGCUUUUAAAGUUUAAGUUCAGGUUAGAUUCAGAUUUUAAAGUUCAGGUUAGAUUUUAAAGUUCAGGUUUAAGAAAUAGAGAGAGAUAGAAGAGAGAGAUAGAGAGAUUGAGAGGAGAGAAGAAAGAUUGAGAUGUCAAGAUACAGUUUUAAGUUCAGUCAGAUUCAGGUUUAGAUUUUGAUUUACAUAAGUUCAAACUUAGGUUCGGAUUUAAAUAAGUUUAAACUUAGGUUCAAAAGAUUGAGAGGAGACAAGGGAAUAUAUUGAGAUUGAGAGAAGAGAGAUUAAGAAGAGAUUAAGGGAUUGAGAUGAGAGAGGAGAGGAGAGAUGAGAUUGAGAGGAGAGAAGAGAGAUUGAGAGGAGAGGAUGCAUAUAUAUUCAGCAUGCAUAUAGAGAGAAGAGAGAUUGAGAUUGAGGUCUACAACAUGCAUAUAUAUUCAGCAAUCAAAAAGUGAGGUUUACAACAUGCAUAUAUAUUCAGCAAUCAAAAAGUGAGGUUUACAACAUGCAUAGCGGCAUAGUGUUAAUUAAAAGAUGUACAAGGAAAAGAUAGAGUACAGUAAGAGUACUUAUCUUGAUAUGAAUUGCAGAUAUA